GCGGCGUGCUUCAUACAUGCAAGUCGAACGAGAAGCAGGAGCUUGCUCCUGUGGAAAGUGGCGGACGGGUGAGUAACACGUAGGAAAUCUGCCUUUGGGUGGGGGACAACAGUUGGAAACGACUGCUAAUACCCCAUAUGAGCUUGGUUGCAAUACCAAUCUUGAAAACUCCGGUGCCUAAAGAUGAGCCUGCGUCUGAUUAGCUUGUUGGCGGGGUAAUGGCCCACCAAGGCGACGAUCAGUAGCUGGUGUGAGAGGAUGGUCAGCCAAAAUGGGACUGAGACACGGCCCAUACUCCUACGGGAGGCAGCAGUAGGGAAUUCUGCGCAAUGGGGGAAACCCUGACGCAGCAACGCCGCGUGAAUGACGAAGCCCUUCGGGGUGUAAAGUUCUGUCAGUAGGGAAGAAUUUUGACUGUACCUACAAAGGAAGCACCGGCUAACUCCGUGCCAGCAGCCGCCGCCG
rnacentral:rRNA from 1 species